GCGUGUGAGGCAGAACGUGCUCCUGGGUUGAGGCUGUUUUUUGGGAGAGAAGAGCACGUUGCUGAGGAGCCUGCUUUUUCCGAAGGAGCCUUCCCCGGCACCGAGCAGGGGAUCUCCCUGGUGCUUCCCACCCACCGGAGUGCGUGGCUGCUGCAAGGAGAGCUUCACCUAGACCUGAUGCCCCUGCUCUGCUUCAAGGUUUCCCAUCUCCCGUGGGGAGGCAGGGGCUGUGAAUGGAGCAGGGGAGCGGUGCCCACGGUGGUGGCAGAGGGGCCGGGGGGGCCACACGCCCCCCAGCAUUGCAUAACGCCGGGAACGCGCCGUUCUCCGCCGGGAAUGACGGCAGCGCCCGCCUCGCCGGCCUUCGCCUGCCCGGCUGCAGCCACCGGCACCGCCUCAGCCCAGCGCCCGGCCCUGGAAAGCUGCCCUCCUUGCUUCCAACCAGCGGAAAACUGGGAUGCAGGCUUCAUUGUCCCUUUGCCAUUGAGGUUUUUCACCAAGUCCUGAAGAUGAUCAUGUUCUGGCUGGUCCAUCUGAGCCUGAAUCAGCCCCAGCUGAAGCUCUCUGCUUUGCCUCCAAGAUGCAGCCACAGCCUGGUGAUGAGCACAUCGCAGCUCCGGGCUCUUCUGUCCCGUCGGACCCGGCAUGUCCCGGCGCAGAGAACGGCAGAGAAAUCCUUGACAACGCCGCGCAGCACAGACACAUCUGUUCCGGGCUCAUCUAUAAAUUAGUGUCCAGAGGCUGCUGUGAAGAUGCUACGUGCUCCUUCCAGGCCUGCAGCCUCCCCGUGUGUCCUGUGCAGCUCCGUGGCCACCUUCCAGCAGCUCCACCAUCACCAGUGGGUACUACUCUCACUCCCUCUUAGGAAGCAGGGGGAUAAUCAUUCCCCAUUUAAUGGAUGGGAAACUUGGCAGACACAGAGUAAGUGAUUUGCUGACAGGCACACAAGAAAAUUGCACUAGUCGAGCAUUCUCUCAAUUAUGCCAUCCUUGUAACUGCAUAAUAUCCCUGUGUGAUUCCAGACACGGAGCACAAUCCUUUGACAGGGCUUCGUCUGCAAAGCAUCAGCUGGCACCCACGGCAGGAUGGGUGACACUGCUCCAAGACCUCAUGGAACAGCAGCUCUGGUCCCAUGGACACCUCUGAGGGUGGCAAAGGAUCGUGAUGGGCAGGAGUCUGGGAUGUGCAGGCCAUGAAGGUGUUUCCUCCUGCCCUCCUGGACCUUUAAGACAUGGAAGGAGGAGCUGAGCUGUGGACACGGCUCGUGCAUCCCCCGAAAGGUCCUUCUCGUGCUGCCUGUUGUGUCUGAGGCCCGAGGCCUGGACACACUCAUCUCCAGUCAUCUCUGGCUCCACCCCAGAGUCUGCAACAUGAGCAUAUUAACAUGUUUUUAGAGCCCACUCCUUCAGCAUUUGCCUUUGACAGUUAUCUCAAGGGAUAGAUAAUCUCAUUUACAUCUGUGGCUACAAAUCAAAACAACAGCGAAUUAAACGGAUCUGAAGGCUAAGAUUAAAGACUUGGAAUUAAACCACCUGUGAAGGGCCUGUAAUGCAAAUAGUUGGAAGUAUCACUUUUUUUCUGAGGGAUGGAAAAGCCCUGCACAGAUGCUGUUCACUUUACCUUGAAAGCAAAGGUGGAACUGUCACAUCACUGCAAUGAUUAUACCCGCGGGCAUUACGUGACACCAGCUUCUUGGCUGUGCUUGGAAAAAGAAAGAGAAGGAAAGGAGCUGGAUCGAAGUACUCACUGUUCUAGCCAAGCACAGCCAGCAGAUAGCAGCAUUGCAAUGUAGAAUGUACCCUCGGCUGUUUCUGCUGCUUUCGAAGUCAUGGAGAAACCGGGGGGCAGGACAUUCUCUGAGCUGUGAAAAAUGCACCUGAUGGUAGAUUAAAUCUACUUUCAAUACAGUCGGUAGUGCUGAUGAGAUAAACGGCGGCCAAAACAGCACCUCAGCCAGCCCCAGCUCCCUCUGCAGCUCCUGCAAACCCAGCCCCGGGAAAGCUGCUCCUGCCCCUGCCCGGGAAACAAGGACAAGGAAGGGAAGAGAAGGAGCCAGGCCAGGAAAGACACCCAAAACCUGCCCUCGGUGCAGCUCAAGCAUCUGCACAGGAACAGGCACUAAAGGGCAUUAUCCUGCAAAUCCUUUGA